GAGGGUAUAGCUCAGUGGUAGAGCAUAUGCUUAGCAUGCACAAGGUCCUGGGUUCAAUCCCCAGUACCGCCA
rnacentral:tRNA from 1 species